CCUACGGGAGGCAGCAGUGAGGAAUAUUGGUCAAUGGGCGAGAGCCUGAACCAGCCAAGUCGCGUGAGGGAGUACUGCCCUAUGGGUUGUAAACCUCUUUUGUCGGGGAGCAAAAGCCGGACGUGUCCGGCUGUGAGAGUACCCGAAGAAAAAGCAUCGGCUAACUCCGUGCCAGCAGCCGCGGUAAUACGGAGGAUGCGAGCGUUAUCCGGAUUUAUUGGGUUUAAAGGGUGCGCAGGCGGAUUUUUAAGUCAGCGGUAAAAUCGUGGGGCUCAACCCCAUCCAGCCGUUGAAACUGGGGAUCUAGAGUGUGCGGGAGGUAUGCGGAAUGCGUGGUGUAGCGGUGAAAUGCAUAGAUAUCACGCAGAACCCCGAUUGCGAAGGCAGCAUACCGGUGCACAACUGACGCUCAGGCACGAAAGCGUGGGUAUCGAACAGGAUUAGAUACCCGAGUAGUC
rnacentral:rRNA from 1 species